GAUGAAGAACGCAGCGAAAUGCGAUAAGUAAUGUGAAUUGCAGAAUUCAGUGAAUCAUCGAAUCUUUGAACGCACCUUGCGCCCUUUGGCCAUUCCGAAGGGCAUGCCUGUUUGAGUAUCAUGAACACCUCAACUCUUUAUGGUUUUCCAUGAUGAGCUUGGACUCUGGGGGUUUUGCUGGCUCACAGUCGGCUCCUCUAAAAUGAAUCAGCUUACCAGUGUUUGGUGGGUAUCAUGGGUGUGAUAACUAUCUACGCUUGUGGUUUUUCCACCAGGUAACCUUCAGCAGUGGAGGUUCGCUGGAGCUCAUAGAUGACUCUCCUCAGUGAGGACAGCCCUUUGAAUGUUUGAUCUCAAAUCAGGUAGGACUACCCGCUGAACUUAAGCAUAUCAAUAAGCGGAGGA
rnacentral:misc_RNA from 1 species